rnacentral:rRNA from 1 species
AUUGAACGCUGGCGGCAUGCCUUACACAUGCAAGUCGAACGGCAGCAUGGAGGAGCUUGCUCCUCUGAUGGCGAGUGGCGAACGGGUGAGUAAUACAUCGGAACGUGCCUAGUAGUGGGGGAUAACUACUCGAAAGAGUGGCUAAUACCGCAUGAGAUCUACGGAUGAAAGCAGGGGAUCGCAAGACCUUGUGCUACUAGAGCGGCCGAUGGCAGAUUAGGUAGUUGGUGGGAUAAAAGCUUACCAAGCCGACGAUCUGUAGCUGGUCUGAGAGGACGAUCAGCCACACUGGGACUGAGACACGGCCCAGACUCCUGCGGGAGGCAGCAGUGGGGAAUUUUGGACAAUGGGCGCAAGCCUGAUCCAGCAAUGCCGCGUGCAGGAUGAAGGCCUUCGGGUUGUAAACUGCUUUUGUACGGAACGAAAAGCCCUGGGUUAAUACCCUGGGGUCAUGACGGUACCGUAAGAAUAAGCACCGGCUAACUACGUGCCAGCCGCCGCGGUAAGAC